rnacentral:rRNA from 1 species
AAAUUGAAGAGCGACGUAUGCCUCAGAUUGAACGCCGCGGCAAGCCCAACACAUGCAAGUCGAACGGUAACAGGAAGCAGCUUGCUGCUUUAUUGACGAGUGGCGGACGGUGAGUACGUCUGGGAAACCGCCUGAUGGAGGGGGAUAACUACUGGAAACGGUGGCUACACCGUAUAACGUCGCAAGACCAAAGAGGGGUAACCGGGCCCUUGCCACCGAUGCCCAGAUGGGACGGCUUUGUUGCGAGUAACGGCUCACCAAGGCGACAGAUCCCGGCUGGUCUGAGAGGAUGACCAGCCACACUGAACUGGAGACGGUCCAGGACUCCUACGGGAGGCAGCAGUGGGGAAUAUUAGAAUACCGGGCGCAAGCUCACGCGUUUCGCUGCCGCGUGUAUGAAGAAGGCCUUCGGGUUGUGCUACCAGCGGGAGGUUGCGGCUAGGUUAAUGUUCCACAGCACUGAUCGCCACCGCAGAAGAAGGACCGGCUAACUCCGCGCCAGCAGCCGCGCAAUUUACGGAGGGUGCGUUAAUCGAAUUACUGGGCGUAAAAGCGCACGGCAGGCGGUCUGUCGUCGGACGGAAAUCCCCGCCCAAACCCGAACCAUCUGAAACUGGCAGCUUUGAGCCCAGGUAGGGUAGAAUCUGUGUACGGUGAAAAUGCGUAGAGAUCUGGAGGAAUACCGCGCGAAGGCGGCCCCGGUCAAAGACUGACGCUCAGGUGCGGAAAGCGUGGGGAGCAAACAGGAUGAUACCCCGUAGUCCACGCCAAACGUGGCGUCUACUGGAGGGUUGUGCCCUGCAGGCGGCUCUCGAGCUAACGCGUUAGCAGACCGCCCGGGGAGCGCGUAUUUGGCCGCAGCAAAACCAAAUGACUCCGAUUUGGGCCCGCACAAGCGUGGUGGAGCAUGUGGUUUAAUUCGAUGCAACGCGAAGAACCUACCCGGCCCUUGACAUCCACGGAAGUUUUCAGAGAUGAGAAUGUACCGGGAACCGUGAGACAGGUGCCGCAUGGCUGUCGUCAGCUCGUGUUGUGAAAUGGGCCAGUUAAGUCCCGCAACGAAAGCGCAACCCCUUAUCCUUUGUUGCCAGCGGUUAGGCCAAACCCAAAGGAGACCGCCAGUGAUAAACUGAGGAAGGUGGGAUGACGUCAAGUCAUCAUGGCCCUUACGACCGUAUUGCCACACGUGCUGCCAAUGGCGCAUACAAAGAGCAGCGACCUGAGUAUAAGCGCACCCCUCAGCCAAAAGCAAGUCGUAGUCCGGAUUGGAGCCCGCAACUCGACCCAUGGUGAAGUUCUGGAAUCGCUAGUAAUCGUGGAUCAGAAUGCCACGGUGAAUACGUUCCCGGGCUUCUCCUGUACACACCGCCCGUCACACCAUGGGAGUGGGUUGCAAAAGAAGUAGGUAGCUUAACCUUCGGAGUGGCGCUUACCACUUUGUGAGAUUCAUGACUGGGGUGAAGUCGUAACAAGGUAAAUCGUAGGGGAAACGCGGUUGAUCACCUACCUG